UACGAAGGGGGCUAGCGUUGUUCGGAAUUACUGGGCGUAAAGCGCGCGCAGGCGGUCCUUUAAGUCAGGGGUGAAAUCCCAAGGCUCAACCUUGGAACUGCCUUUGAUACUGGGGAUCUCGAGUCCGGAAGAGGUGAGUGGAACUGCGAGUGUAGAGGUGAAAUUCGUGGAUAUUCGCAAGAACACCAGUGGCGAAGGCGGCUCACUGGUCCGGUACUGACGCUGAGGUGCGAAAGCGUGGGGAGCAAACAGG
rnacentral:rRNA from 1 species